rnacentral:rRNA from 1 species
GAUGAACGCUGGCGGCGUGCCUAAUACAUGCAAGUCGAGCGAAUGGAUUAAGAGCUUGCUCUUAUGAAGUUAGCGGCGGACGGGUGAGUAACACGUGGGUAACCUGCCCAUAAGACUGGGAUAACUCCGGGAAACCGGGGCUAAUACCGGAUAACAUUUUGAACCGCAUGGUUCGAAAUUGAAAGGCGGCUGCGGCUGUCACUUAUGGAUGGACCCGCGUCGCAUUACCUAGUUGGUGAGGUAACGGCUCACCAAGGCAACGAUGCGUAGCCGACCUGAGAGGGUGAUCGGCCACACUGGGGCUGAGACACGGCCCAGACUCCUACGGGAGGCAGCAGUAGGGAAUCUUCCGCAAUGGACGAAAGUCUGACGGAGCAACGCCGCGUGAGUGAUGAAGGCUUUCGGGUCGUAAAACUCUGUUGUUAGGGAAGAACAAGUGCUAGUUGAAUAAGCUGGCACCUUGACGGUACCUAACCAGAAAGCCACGGCUAACUACGUGCCAGCCGCCGCGGUAA